GGAGGAUUCGCCUAGUGGCCUAUGGCGCUCGCUUGGAAUGCGAGUUGGGAGCAAUCCCUCGGGGGUUCAAAUCCCCCAUCCUCCG
rnacentral:tRNA from 2 species